rnacentral:rRNA from 1 species
UACGAAGGGGGCGAGCGUUGUUCGGAUUUACUGGGCGUAAAGGGCGCGUAGGCGGCCCUUCAAGUCAGGCGUGAAAGCCCCGGGCUCAACCUGGGAGGUGCGCUUGGGACUGGAGGGCUGGAGUUCGGGAGAGGAGCGUGGAAUUCCCAGUGUAGAGGUGAAAUUCGUAGAUAUUGGGAAGAACACCGGUGGCGAAGGCGGCGCUCUGGACCGAGGCUGACGCUGAGGCGCGAAAGCGUGGGGAGCAAACAGG